rnacentral:rRNA from 1 species
CGCAUAACAUCAUUUACCGGCAUCGGAUUAUGAUCAAAUAUUUAUCGGAUAUGGAUGGGCUCGCGUGACAUUAGAUAGUUGGAGGUGUAACGGCCCACCAAGGGUACGAUGUCUAGGGCAUGUGAGAGGAGAAUCCCCCACACUGGUAGUGAGACACGGACCAGACUCCUACGGGAGGCAGCAGUAAGGAAUAUUGGUCAACGGAGGGAACUCUGAACCAGCCAUGCCGCGCGCAGGAUGACUGCCCUAUGGGUUGUAAAAUGCUUUUGUCAGGGAAUAAACCUUUCCACGUGUGGGAAGMUGAAUGUACCUGAAGAAUAAGGAUCGGCUAACUCCGUGCCAGCAGCCGCGGUAAUACGGAGGAUCCAAGCGUUAUCCGGAUUUAUUGGGUUUAAAGGGUGCGUAGGCGGUCCUAUAAGUCAGUGGUGAAAGACGGCAGCUUAACUGUCGCAGUGCCUUUGAUACUGUAGGACUUGAAUCUAUUUGAAGUGGGCGGAAUAAGACAAGUAGCGGUGAAAUGCAUAGAUAUGUCUUAGAACUCCGAUUGCGAAGGCAGCUCACUAAG